UACGUAGGUGGCAAGCGUUGUCCGGAUUUACUGGGCGUAAAGAGCGCGCAGGCGGUCGUUCAAGUCGCGUGUGAAAGCCCCCGGCUCAACUGGGGAGGGUCACGCGAUACUGAUCGACUCGAAGGCAGGAGAGGGUAGUGGAAUUCCCGGUGUAGUGGUGAAAUGCGUAGAUAUCGGGAGGAACACCAGUGGCGAAGGCGACGUCCUGGACCGGCAUUGACGCUGAGGCGCGAAAGCCAGGGGAGCAAAGCGGG
rnacentral:rRNA from 1 species